GCUGGAGUAGCUCAGCAGGUAGAGCAGUUGAUUUGUAAUCAUCAGGUCGGGAGUUCGAUUCUCUCCUCCAGCACCA
rnacentral:tRNA from 1 species